rnacentral:rRNA from 1 species
UACGGAGGGGGCUAGCGUUGUUCGGAAUUACUGGGCGUAAAGCGCACGUAGGCGGACUGUUAAGUCGGGGGUGAAAUCCUGGGGCUCAACCUCAGAAUUGCCUCCGAUACUGGCAGUCUCGAGUGCGGGAGAGGUGAGUGGAAUUCCCAGUGUAGAGGUGAAAUUCGUAGAUAUUGGGAAGAACACCAGUGGCGAAGGCGGCUCACUGGCCCGUAACUGACGCUGAGGCACGAAAGCGUGGGUAGCAAACAGG